AGAUGUAAGGUCAGUUGAGACAUUUGUUAUUCCCACCCAUUGCUAAGGGUGAUUUGGCUGAUCUGGCUGGCUGGGAGUGGGUACCCACUUCCCUCACUGGUCCAUGGUUCUUUGGACAUGGAGAUCACUCAGCUAUGUUCCCCUGCUAGAACCUUCAAAUGAUCUCUCAAAUAUGGUUGACAUAAAGUCAAAUACAUCAGUAAUUAUAGUAAAUGUUAGUGGAUUAAGAUUAUUAAAAAAAAUAAAGCAGUGCAGGAUCAAGUGUUUUUUUGUUUUUGUU
rnacentral:snRNA from 1 species